UACGUAGGGACCGAGCGUUGUCCGGAUUCAUUGGGCGUAAAGAGCGCGUAGGCGGUCCGGUAAGUCGGUUGUGAAAACUGGGGGCUCAACCCUCAGAGGCCGACCGAUACUGUCGGGCUAGAGUCCGGAAGAGGCGAGUGGAAUUCCUGGUGUAGCGGUGAAAUGCGCAGAUAUCAGGAGGAACACCAAUGGCGAAGGCAGCUCGCUGGGACGGUACUGACGCUGAGGCGCGAAAGCGUGGGGAGCAAACAGG
rnacentral:rRNA from 1 species